CCGCGCCCCAAGGCCCGCGCGUCCCGCCACCACCCCCGCGCCCCCUGCGCCCAGGCUCCUGUGACCACCUGAGAACCCAGCGGCUGGGCUCCAGCACCGAUGUCGCCUCCAGCCAGGGCCUGGCAGUCUGGGAAACCAGGACAACUGCUCAGACCGAAGGAAGUGACGUCACCGGCGUAGGUGUUGGGAGCUCCGUGCCGUAGCAGCCUGUGUGCAAUGGCUGUUGCCUAGGAGACAGGAACGGCCCUCUGCCAUCAAGCCAGGGAACCUUGAUUGCUCAUGCUCAGUUGUGCCGGCAUAGCGUAACCGCGAUGCAAAGCGUCUUUUUGCCAGCUGGGACGUGGAAUCUGUGAACCUGAGCAGUGUCAGCAGACCCGACAGAAUAACGUGGUAGUGACGUUUACAAUCUUUGGAGUCAAACUGCAUGUUUGAUUCUUGGCGUUUGCAAAUUAAGGUCUCUAUGUUUUGGUUUCUUCUGAAACUAAUAAUGAUGCCCGACUUAAAAGAGUUGCUGUGAAUACUGAAUGCUAUAUGUAGUGAAAUAUUUGGGAAGUUGUCUAGAGUUGCAUUUGGUUAAUAUUACAUAUGAGCGCUUCUUGCAACGAAUGCAGUACAGCAUAAAGGCUGUUUCACAUCUUUGAUGGAAAGUUUCUUCUAUGUUUAGCGGAUAAUCGCUAAAAAAAAAAAAAUCAGUCAAUAAAGAAAAUGGACAAGUAGGCUGGAGGACAAUGUA